GACGAACGCUGGCGGCGUGCUUAACACAUGCAAGUCGAACGGAAAGGCCCUGCUUUUGUGGGGUGCUCGAGUGGCGAACGGGUGAGUAACACGGGAGUAACCUGCCCUUGACUUUGGGAUAACUUCAGGAAACUGGGGCUAAUACCUAAUAGGAGCUCCUGCUGCAUGGUGGGGGUUGGAAAGUUUCGGCGGUUGGGGAUGGACUCGCGGCUUAUCAGCUUGUUGGUGGGGUAGUGGCUUACCAAGGCUUUGACGGGUAGCCGGCCUGAGAGGGUGACCGGCCACAUUGGGACUGAGAUACGGCCCAGACUCCUACGGGAGGCAGCAGUGGGGAAUAUUGCACAAUGGGCGGAAGCCUGAUGCAGAAACGCCGCGUGCGGGAUGACGGCCUUCGUGUUGUAAACCGCUUUCGCCUGUGACGAAGCGUGAGUGACGGUAAUGGGUAAAGAAGCACCGGCUAACUACGUG
rnacentral:rRNA from 1 species